UCAAAUAAUCAUAAGCAGAUUGCAAGUUAUCACCAUGCUUGAGGAAGUUUACAGCUAUUUCAGAGUCGCCUUCAAAGAUAAAUUGGUUCCUGAACAAACUGUGUAGCACGUCUAGCUGCUAAAAGUUCCAGAAUAACGAGAAAUUAUUAGCCACAACGGAGGACUAGGUGGAUGUACUGAUGUGGUCCUCCCAGCCAAUGGUGGUCUGCCAUUUGGACAACUAGUUGAUGUCAGUUUUAACCACGCAAAAUACAAACUUAACUCUAGUUUGGAUUAAUCUAACUAAUAAAAUUUCAAAACUAUAUUUGGCUCAAUUCUCUCUCCCUCUCUGUUUCCUCUGUUCAUCUCCCAAAACACAAAUUUACAUCCUCUCUCUCUCUCUCUCUCAUAGAUUGAAACCCAAGAAGUAUGGCUGUGGAACAUUGGAGUGAAGAAAGCCGCAACCUUCAUUGCUGUGAGGUAUCAUUCGGUGAAACCGAUCUGUCGAUUGGUUUUGGUAGUGAGGAUUUUAGAGGAGAGAUGGGCUUCCGGUUCUUUGCCGAACUUCUGAGAGAGUCUGAGACAGCACCCAUGCCCACUUUUAUCUUAACAAUGAUUGCCACAACGAGACGAAGAUUUCUAGAAGCUGAAAAAGCAAACUCACAAGAAACUCUAAUGUGAAGUAUGAAAUUGGACUUCUUAGUACAAUUGGUGUUCAAAUAGCUGUCUUUCUUUGAAGAUUGAAAACAUGAGUUCAAUCUGAAAUAGGUUGUUGGGUAUCAUUGAAAUAGAACCCAUAUGUUGUGAAUUUUUAACACAAAUGGAACCCACAUGUUGUGAAUUUGCUCAAAAUGGAUGUUGCUAUUCUUAGCCUCAAUUAUGGAAAUGUUGGUGCUGGUGUACCAAGUUCAAGAGAGUAGGAGAGGUGUUUGCUGCUUUGUCUGAGAGAGUGGGUAAAGGUGCCACUGAAGAAAUUCAGGAUUUGUAGUGACAGUGGCUGCACCAUUUGAAGAUUGACUAGUGAUAGAUUGUGGGGGUGCAGGUUUAGUUCCAUCAAGAAAGCCAAAGAGAUGAAGACCUUUAAUGUAAAGAACAAUCUGAGCUUUCCAAAGAAGAUAGUUGUCUCGGGUUAAUUUGAUUGUAGUAUUGUGGUGAAGGUUGAUGAGGUUGUGAGAGGAUAGAUUGGUUGUGGCAAUGGUGUUGGCAGAGGCAGAGGAAGAAGAGCUGGCCAUAGGGAUUGACAUUAGUCACAAAAAGCUCUGAUACCAUGUGAAGUCAAAUAGCAAAUUGAUAUUGUGCUGCCUUACCAAAUACGAUGAAGGCUCUUUGUAUGUAUAAACUAAUCAUUUACAGAGUUUGUGUUUUGACAUAUGUACAUGAAGAGUUUGAAUUCAAAUAUACUAAAACUAAAAUGUUAUCUAUGAGCUGAGUUGUUGUAA